AAGGAGGAAAUGGGAGUCCUCUUUCCACCUGGUGGCUAAUUAGGCUGCAAGCUUAGAACCAUCCUUCCAUCCUUUUAGGUAAGACUGAAAAUGAUGAGAAGCAGUGGAGACUGGGGCAGCCAGGGAGACCAAAGCCGUCUACGCCUGAAUCCGUUUUCUUGGGACUUUUCAGAACCUCGACCAGGACCGAUCCAGGCUGCAGAUCCUCCCUCAGUGACAUUUUUCUAGACCUACCAAGAAGAUGUGGUUUUCUAUACUCUGUGGCUUUUGAAGUUGAGGAGCUACAGGGGUACUAUUGCCUGAGAGUCUCCUCCUGAGAAGACAACAUGGAAGAUAUCAGGGUCUCCAGGUGCAGAUCAGUGAGUACUUACCCUGUGGCCAUCAUUCCGGCUGUGCCUGAAGCUCAUGAAACUCCUGGGACUUCCAAUUCUAUGAGUCAAUAAAUUUUGUUA
rnacentral:lncRNA from 1 species